CCAUAUCACCCUGCAGCCCAAGACUGGUUACCCACUGAAGCUAAACAGGGUUGAGCCUGGGCAAUACCUGGAUGGGAGACCUCCUGGAAAUCUCUGCGGAUAAUAUGU
rnacentral:rRNA from 1 species